GAUGAACGCUGGCUACAGGCUUAACACAUGCAAGUCGAGGGGAAACGCCGGGGAAGCUUGCUUCCCCGGGCGUCGACCGGCGCACGGGUGAGUAACGCGUAUCCAACCUGCCUCUGACUGAGGGAUAACCCGUCGAAAGUCGGCCUAAUACCUCAUGGUAUCGUCUGCGGGCAUCCAACGACGAUUAAAGAUUUCAUCGGUCAGGGAUGGGGAUGCGUCUGAUUAGCUUGUUGGCGGGGUAACGGCCCACCAAGGCUACGAUCAGUAGGGGUCCUGAGAGGAAGGUCCCCCACAUUGGAACUGAGACACGGUCCAAACUCCUACGGGAGGCAGCAGUGAGGAAUAUUGGUCAAUGGGCGAGAGCCUGAACCAGCCAAGUAGCGUGCAGGAAGACGGCCCUAUGGGUUGUAAACUGCUUUUAUGCGGGGAUAAAGUGAGGGACGUGUCCCUCAUUGCAGGUACCGCAUGAAUAAGGACCGGCUAAUUCCGUG
rnacentral:rRNA from 1 species